ACUGUCUCAACGAGAGACUCGGUGAAAUUUUAGUACCUGUGAAGAUGCAGGUUACCCGCGACAGGACGGAAAGACCCCAUGGAGCUUUACUGUAGUUUGAUAUUGAGUACCUGUAAGUCAUGUACAGGAUAGGUAGGAGCCGUUGAAAUAGGGACGCUAGUUUCUAUUGAGGCGUUGUUGGGAUACUACCCUUGACUUAUGGUUACUCUAACCCGCUGGCAUAAUCGGCCAGGGAGACAGUGUCUGACGGACAGUUUGACUGGGGCGGUCGCCUCCUAAAGAGUAACGGAGGCGC
rnacentral:rRNA from 1 species